rnacentral:lncRNA from 1 species
UUGGUUUUGGGUUAACUUAGUGCAAGAAAAAGAAGUCGUGGAUUCUAGAAGAAGCUUUGACCAAACAAUUUAGAGCGGUAUAUCAGUUGAACUAUGCAGGUAAACAGUUGGAAGUUAAUCAAAUAUUGGGAGAAGAAUAUGGAGGAAUUUCGGGGGCAAAUUUAAAUUUAAUGGGGGGAGAAUGUAAUAUCCCAUAUACCCUUAAAUGCUUAAUUAGUUGUCAGUUGAGAUCAAUUGAGUUCCUAUGUACUCUAUCUCUUAUCAGUUGUAACAAUUUGAGCUCAUAUGUGCUCUAAGUGUUAUCAAUUGGGAUCAAUAGAGUAACUAGUGAACUCUGAAGAGAUCAAUCUUUAUUAAAAAUCAUAAACUGGAAAAAAUGAAAACUUAGAUUUCACAACUAGCCAAUUUGAACAACUUCCAUAACAAAAU